CUCUACUUGACUAGCUGAGAGGAGGUGCAUGGCCGUCGUCAGUUCGUACUGUGAAGCAUCCUGUUAAGUCAGGCAACGAGCGAGACCCACGCCAACAGUUGCCAGCUCGUCCUCCGGGAUGGAGGGGACACUGUUGGGACCGCCUCUGCUAAAGAGGAGGAAGGAAUGGGCAACGGUAGGUCAGCAUGCCCCGAAUUAUCUGGGCUACACGCGGGCUACAAUGGGUGGGACAAUGGGUAUCGACACCGAAAGGUGAAGGCAAUCUCCUAAACCCAUCCGUAGUUCGGAUUGUGGGCUGCAACUCGCCCACAUGAAGCUGGAAUCUGUAGUAAUCGUGUCUCAAAAUGGCACGGUGAAUAUGUCCCUGCUCCUU
rnacentral:rRNA from 1 species